rnacentral:rRNA from 1 species
UACGGAGGGUGCAAACGUUGCUCGGAAUCAUUGGGCGUAAAGCGCGCGUAGGCGGCUGGACAAGUUGGAUGUGAAAGCCCUGGGCUCAACCCAGGAUGUGCAUUCAAAACUGUCCGGCUUGAAUCUCGGAGGGGGUCAGAGAAUUCCCGGUGUAGAGGUGAAAUUCGUAGAUAUCAGGAGGAACACCAAUGGCGAAGGCAGCUCGCUGGGACGUGACUGACGCUGAGACGCGAAAGCGUGGGGGAGCAAAACAGG